rnacentral:lncRNA from 10 species
GGACUACGGCUUCAUUCACCACGGCACAACCAGAGACAUUCUGAGACGCCAGAAGCGUGACCGGGGUAGAGGAUACCUAGGUUGCAGGAAAGCGCAGUUACCAAAUCGGGCCUCUGGAGCUCCCAGGAAACCCGCUGACAGCUCCAGGGGCGCGGGGCAGGCCUCGCUUUCGAAAGCAGCGCCACAGCGUUCCUAUUGGUCUUCCAUUCCAGCCAACCAGCAGGUUUCCCUGUGAUCCACCCCUCAACUAAGAGGCCAAUCAGAAGAGGGUAUGUGCUUCCCAUUGUGUACGACAGGUAUGUGCUUCCCAUUGCGUACGACCAAUUAAAGCUUAUUUCUGAUUGACACUUGGACAGCCAACCAGAAGGCCUGGUAAUCCGACCUCUUAUUAUGGUCACCAUCAUGAUCUUGGUCCCCAUCCUUGUUCCAUCCCUGCCAGGAAUCAAACGUAUGGAUCUGGGAGAAAUAACUAGACAAGGGGUCCAAGCUGGAGGGAUGGUGGCUCAAGAGACAAAGUAAUAUUUCCCCGAGUAUCAAAGCAGGUUGCCCAUGAGGUCAGAAGAGCAUGUAGUUGAGCUGUCAGUGCUGCUCUGGGCUUGACCUCAAGUAGUGACAAUCUGAAAAAGGUACUGGUUGUGAGAGCGCCUCAGAUAAUGUUGCUUUGUCACUAGGCUAAUCGCUUCAUCUUCCCCCAGAGUCAGAUGGGAAGAAACUUACAAACACUCAGGGCCUUUAAUUAAGUGUGAUGGUUUAUUUAUGGUGAAGAGUGGUCAGUAUCCUCAAUUAGCAGCAAUAGAUACUGCCUCUAGAACGACCAAAAGUAAAUGUGUGGGGAAACUAAAACCUGACAGUGGUAUCAUUACAACUAAAUGUACCAGAAAAUGCAAAUUAAAACCAUGAAAUAUGAUUUUCACCAAAUAGUUUGGAUAAUUAUCAAUUAUUUAAAUUUUUACCACUUUUGGCAAGGAAAUUUUUGUGAACAGAAUUUCCCCACUUUGGGUGGGGAAACAUUCUCAUUUGCUGUCACUGGAAGCCUAAACUGCAUUCUUUAAGAAAGCAAUUUAGCUUUAGCUAUCAAAACGUAAAAUGAGGCCAGGCGCAGUGGCUCAUGCCUGUAAUCCCAACACUUUGGGAGGCUGAGGCAGGAGAAUCGUUUGAAGCCAGGAGUUCGAGACCAACUUGGGCAACAAAGUGAGACCACCCCCCUCCCCCAUCUCUACACACACACACACACACACACACACACACACACACACACAGUAAAAGACACACACACAGUAAAAGGCACACACCUUUUGACCCAGCAAUUCCUUCUCUCAAAAUCUAUCCUACAGAAAUACUUACACACUGGAGCAAGGUUAUAUGUAGCAUUAUUUAUAAUAGUGAAUGAUUGGAGACAAAUUUGCAUCAAUAGGUGAAUCAUUAAAUUGUGAUACAACCAUACCAUGAAAUGUUAUGCAGUCAUUUUUUAAAUGAGGUAAAUUUCCAUGUAUUAAUGCAAGAGGAGGUCCAGAAUACAAUGCAAAGUGAAAAAAGUUGCAAAACAGUACAUAUAAUAUCCCAUUUCAUUUAAAAAAAACCUAUAUACAAAUGUGUGGGUAUUCAUAUAUGUAUAUAUGUGUAUAUUAAUAUAUAAACACAAACAGAACAACAUCUGGGAAGACACACACCAAAUUAAGUUAUUCUUGGAGAAUGGGAGUGGUGAGAGGGACUAAGGAAAAAUCUUUCACUUUUUACUUUACACAUUUAUGUUUUGCUUGAAUUUUGUUGGCUAACAUUAAUAAUUUUUGAAUUUUUAUCACAAUAAAACAUUUUAACAAAAUAGGCACUUUUGUAAUCAGAUCAAUAGAGUUAUAAUGUAUGUGUUUUAAAUAAAAAUAGCUCCAUGGGGGUCUACGAAAAAAGAGAAUGUAAUAUCAUAUUUUACUUGUACCACAACCACUCCACCCUAUCCCCAGCCCUGCUGUUAGCAUAGGACCAGACACACAGAAGACUAUUAGCACUUGUUAAAUGAGUUGUCAUCUGUCCAAAUUUUUGUUAACACUUUAUUUUAUAGCUGCUUUUCUAUUUAUUCUGCAGUUCAUUCUCUAACACUGCUGCCUAUGAAGGUUGCAUCUCUCUUUACCCUUCCUUUCCUUUAUUUCACAGAAAUACCCAUUCUUCCCUAUCCCCUCAGAUAUUUUUAGUCAUCUCAUUCAUGAACUACCAAAAACCUCAACUUCCUCACAGCCCCCACUCUUCUACUUAGAACCAAAUACUGCUAAGUAACAUUAAUUUCCUUUUUUUUUUUCUUUUGAAAUUUUUUGUAGAGACAGUGUCUCACUCUGUUGCCCAGGCUAGUCUCAACCUCCUGGGCUCAAGCAAUCCUCCUGCCUCAGCCUCCCAAAAUGCUGGGAUUACAGGCAUGAGCCAACCACAUUCAGCCUUAAUUUGCUAAUGUUUUGAACACAUCACUUUCUGUACCUUCUUUCCAUGUUGAGCUACAUCAAAACUAGCUUUGAUUUUCUAAAUGACAAGACUGCUACCUCCCCUCAUUCCAACCCUUGCCAAAACCCACUCUGUGUAGGGAAACCAUUUCAGAGCUCACUGGUCAGAUGAAUAUCCACCCACCAAAAGUUCUGAGAGUUCACCCACCUUUCUGCCUGUGUCAAAUUUAUUUGGGAAAAAAAACAGUGUCAGUUGAGAUAAAAAGCCUAUAGAAGAAAUGUUUGUUGGUGUUGUGUGGGUGUGUCAGAGGAUGAACACAUGCAUGUGUGUUUAUGUACAUGUAUUACAUAUGCAGACACACACAUACACACAUACACACACACAUAUAUAAUAAAUAUAUUCUGCCCAAAUUAGCACAAACCCACAAGCUUAAAAACCAAAUCUGCUAAAUCUGACUCAAACAACAGGUACUGAGCCUACAGCUACUUCCUGCAAGCAGAUGCAUUACCUCUGUGACAAAGUCAGUUGUGAGUUGCAAAAAGGAUAGGUAAAUAUCAUUAAGAUAAGUUAAGAUUCUGCUUUCUAAAAAAAUUUAAAUGCAAAACAUUACCUCAGGACACUGGCCACACUGUAUGAUUUCUGCAUAAUACCCAGCAUAUCCUAGACACUAAAGAAUACUAAAUUUACAACUUAAGCAGGAAAACAGAGGCUUGCUUCACAGUGGUUUAAUAUGAACAGAGUUGAAUAUGACAUUGUCUGACAGAAGAAUGAAC